AUUGGACGCUGGCGGAAUGCUUUACACAUGCAAGUCGAACGGUAGAGGGGGCAACCCCUCGAGAGUGGCGAACGGGUGAGUAAUAUAUCGGAACGUGCCCAGUCGUGGGGGAUAACGUAGCGAAAGUUACGCUAAUACCGCAUACGAUCUAAGGAUGAAAGCGGGGGAUAGCAAGACCUCGCGCGAUUGGAGCGGCCGAUAUCAGAUUAGGUAGUUGGUGGGGUAAAGGCUCACCAAGCCAACGAUCUGUAGCUGGUCUGAGAGGACGACCAGCCACACUGGGACUGAGACACGGUCCAGACUCCUACGGGAGGCAGCAGUGGGGAAUUUUGGACAAUGAGCGAAAGCCUGAUCCAGCCAUUCCGCGUGCAGGAUGAAGGCCCUCGGGUUGUAAACUGCUUUUGUACAGAACGAAAAGGUUUCUACUAAUACUAGGAGCUCAUGACGGUACUGUAAGAAUAAGCACCGGCUAACUACGUGCCAGCCGCCGCCGUAA
rnacentral:rRNA from 1 species